GCAGCGUCCUGGGCAGCACUUAGGGCUGUGUCAGGAAAGCUGCUGGCUUCUCUCCACAAAUUGCCAACUGAAAUCAGCCCAGGGCUCCCCUCGUUGCUGUUUGUUUUCUCCCCCGCUCCCAGCGGUCUCUCCCUGCGCUGCCGCCGCUGUGGCCGUGAGCCCAGAGCCCAAACAAAGGUGCGGCGGUGCCGGCAGGGUGCGGGGCUCCCGAGGACGGCCCUGUGCCUCCCAGAGCUCGUGGGCAGGGCAGGGGCCGGCCUGGCCCCGCUGUCACAGGAGGAUUUGGUGCCAGGGAACUGGUGCCCGCUUGUGGCUCAGCUCCGGGAAGCAGCAGAGGAUGCGAUGUUCGGUGCUGAGCUCUUUCUUGCAGCUCCCUUUGGAAGUGGCUGCGGGGAUUUGCUGCUGCAGAGCAGCUCCAGCUCUUCCACAGAUCCCCUCUGAUGUGCUCCUCUAGGCUCAUUUCCACAGCUCCUAAGGGGACACUGUUCCGUGUAUGGACGAGGCUACGAAAGGUGUGGAUCGCAAGCAAGCAGGACUAUAGCACAGCUGAGGGAUGGACAGCAGCUCUGCAUCUGGAGGCUCCAUUGCUCUGUCUGAUGUGACCCUUGCUUGGAACAGCCUUCAGAAAGCCAAAGCAGUGCUACAAAGGAUUGAAAACAAAUUUUGUCAUCAAACGCGGAGCUGUGCCAGCUCACAGGCAGCCAGGAGAAAGCUUUGGCAUGGAGAAAGCUUUGGUGAAGAGAGAAACAGAGAUGAAACAGCCCUGAAAGAGAAAAAGACCAGUGAGGUUCCUGUGUCCUGCUGGUGAGUAAUGACCUCAGUGCACAGCAUGUGGGGAUGGGGUGGCAAGAGGCACACAGAAAUGGGUGUAAAAUCCCAGGGUGCAGGACUUGUUUGGCACCUUACAAUUUAUUAUUAGAGAAAUAAAAAGGUCACCAGAUCAAUCACCCCCAGAAAUGCUGAGCACUUGGCAUCCCUUCCAUCAGCUCCCUGCCAUAGUCUGUCUGCCUUAGUCCAUGCUCAUAGUAAUUUGACAGACCGCUGUUCCCUUUGCACUUCCCAAUUUAAUCUUCAUUUACUCCUGGUAGCAGACAAAAUGCUGCUGCUAUGAACAGACCAGCAUCACCAGCAGAAUGUCUCCUGGGAGCUCAACUGCCACCUAUGUGUAUUGUGUAAUAAUAUCCCAUGUUUACAGGUUGUACUAAGGGACAUGGUUUAAUGGGGAAAUAUUGGUGGUAGGUGGAUGGUUGGACUGCAUGAUCUUGGAGAUCCUUCCUUUGUGAUUCUGUGUGA